UUUGAACCACAGGCACCACAGGUUUGAACCGUUUCAACGGGAGUAAUGGCAAAACGGACGGAGUAGCACUGCGUGGCCUCGCAAUCCCAGCGACCCGACGAGCUCGCAAAGCGGUGCUCGGAAGACGACCCUCCCAAAGCCGACGACGCGCACUCACCUCUGUGGACAGCGAAGAAACAUCGUCGCACUGUGACAACGGCGACUAGUACACGGCAUUUAUUUUUUGUUGGCGUUCGUUUCAUAAAACCCGUCUUUAAGGAGCUUGUGACCACCCUCAAAGGCUUGACGAGCUACGUGCUCGUAUUCAAGUUGGUGCCACGAGGUGGGCCUUUCGGGCAUGCCAGGGAGGAUGAGAGGCUGUCCCUGAACCGCCUACUAGUACAAAAAGGUGUUGCCCUCGGCGUUACCAUCGUGAAUGUUGACCGACGCGAGUUCCUCUUCCACCGCUCUCACAAGUGGAGAAUGAAUUGGAAAGGAUGAAAGAAAUGGGAGUCAUCAAGAAGGUGGAAAAAGCAACGGAGUGGUCCGGCAUCCUGCGGUACAGUGACACGGCCAGCAGCCCAACCAAGGUCCUAUAUUGUAAGCACAUCGACAGGACUAACACGACGCACCGGGCAGGGGCUCCGGAAGC